CCAACAGAAAAUAUUACCAAAUAUAUCUGAAAUUACAGUAGAGUUAACGCACGUGCAGUGAGAACAUACGAUAAAAAAUUACCUUAUUUAUUUUAUAUGUAUUAUCAAUUUUUUAAGAAAAAAUUUUAAAUAUCACCCAUAUGGUUUCACACUUUCUCACUUUAAUAUCCUGUGGUUUAAAGUGUAUCACUUUCGCAUCCUGUGAUUUUAUUUUUUGCUUUUUGUUAUUCCUUUUUACUAAAUUUUUUUUGUUAAAUCAGUGACAAUGUUAAAACUAAAGGGUACUGAAGUGAAUAUUUGAUAAACUAUAAGUGGGGUAUCUGAAGUUUUUUAUAUAUGAUUUAACAAAAAAUUAACGGAGGGAGUGACGAAAAGAGAAAAAUAAAACGACAGGUACUAAAUUGAUACACUUUAAACUACAAGCUACUAAAGUGAGAAAGUAAAAAAUCACAUAGGUGGUAUUUGAAUUUUAUAUUUUGUUAUUAUAUAUUUUUUAUAGUCCUUUCGUAAAAUAUAAAAAU
rnacentral:lncRNA from 1 species